GUUCUUUCUCUUUCUCCCAUCGGCGCCUCUCUCUGCCGCCUGCCGUCGUCUUUGCUUCUCUGCCUCCACUCGAAUUGUGCAAGGCGUCACUUCGGCAUUUAUAAAUAAUGGUGACAUAUUCGAUUUUGGCUUUGCUCGACUGGGAUGGAGGAGAAGUAGAUGGAUCCAUACAUGCUUUUUUAGUAUGGGAGGCAUUGGAAAAAACAGCAUAAUCCGAAGAAAUUUGCUAAGGCAUGUGGUUUAUUCGACAAAAAGAAGAUAUCGUUAGAGUACGUGGGUGGUUCCACUUCACUAGUUACGUUGAAUGUGUGGAAGGGGCAGCGGGUAUGGUUUGGUUCGGGUUGGUCCACAUUCAUCGAUGCAAACCGGAUCUUAGACGACAUCACUGGUUCUAGAAAAAUACCCUCUCUCGAGUUCGAUUCCAUAGUGAAUCUGAUUAGGGUUCAGCAACGCCACAAUUGAAUUCCUGUUGUAAUAGUUUUGUGCUUGAAUUGUAGUGAUAAGAUUAGACGACAUCACUGGUUCUAGAAAAAUAUUCUCUCUCGAGUUCGAUCUUUGAUUAGGGUUCAGCAACGCCACAAUUGAAUUCCUGUUGUAAUAGUUUUGCGUUUGAAUUGUAGUGAUAAGAUUAGACGACAUCACUGGUUCUAGAAAAAUACUCUCUCUCGAGUUCGAUCCCAUAGUGAAUCUGAUUAGGGUUCAGCAGUGCCACAAUUGAAUUCCUGUUGUAAUAGUUUUGAGUUUAUAUUGUAGUGAUAAGAUUAUGAGUAUGACUAAUGUCUCAAACUAAUGCUAAUA